CUAGGUGUGGCGGUGAAUGAUUCAGGCCACACUCAUCGCUCUGUUUCUGAAUGUCAAUGGUCUGACAAACCUGAACCCUAUAUCAUGAUUCCUACUGGACCAACUAGAACUGCUGUCAAAUACCUAAUAGAUACAGGUGCACAAAUUACAGUGCUAAAUGCACAACUAGCCAAGCAUCUGAAAAUAUUGCCAUCUCGGAGAAAGGUAAACAUAACAGGUGUUACAGGACAACCUGAAACAUGCUAUUUAGCCAAGGCACAGCUGUGGCUACCUGGGGAGAAAAGAGGUACCCUGGUAGAGUUAGCAUUGGCUUCGUGCAAACAUAAUAUCCUUGGGUUUGAUGUUCUAGCAGGCAGAAGAUGGCACCUUCCUGACGGAACAUUAUGGAGCUUUGGUGCUUAUGAGAGGAGGAAUAAGAGGCAAAGGUUAAUCCGUGCUCGUGUUCGCUUAUUGCAAACAGCUCCUCCAUUGCCAAAGUCACCCAUUACUUGUGUUGCACAGUAUCCAUUGCCAGCUGCAGCUAAGCAAGGUAUCACUGAAGUGAUAGCUGAUCUUGAAAAGAGACAGAUUAUCACUAGAACUCAUUCUCCUUACAAUUCACCUGUUUGGCCAGUCCGAAAAUCUAAUGGCCGAUGGAGAUUGACGGUAGAUUUCCGGAAGCUAAAUAGUAACACUCCUCCUCUUACUGCAGCAGUUCCUAGUCUUUCAUCCACAGUGACAGCAAUCCAAGCGGCUUCUCACACCUGGAUGGCGACUCUAGACGUGAAGGACAUGUUCUUCAUGGUGCCAUUGAGAGAAGAGGACAAACCGCAGUUUGCUUUUACCUGGCAAGCCUUUCUGGUUUUUCCCUGGACUUAACAACAACAAACUGCUCACCGAUCUAGUCUCGCCUCGGGUGGACCCCGAGUCGCGGAGACUACAUUCUGCAUGCCUGGACCCUCAUCGGGAGAAAGAGACUCCUUACCAAGCUAUAGACUGUGAGUAGCUGACUGACGAACUAUUAACUCAAACCAGAGACUCAAGGAACUCUCUUUAAAUAUCAUAGACUCUAUAAUUUGCCAUUUUCGGAAAUGUUACUUUGAUCUCAAUCGAAAAGAAUUCACAGUGGUGGUGUAGUUUCGGGAAGAGGGAAUCCGCAUUCUUUGCAAUAAAUCACUGAUAAAAUA